rnacentral:rRNA from 1 species
GACGUAGGGCGCGAGCGUUGUCCGGAUUUAUUGGGCGUAAAGAGCUCGUAGGCGGCUUGUCGCGUCGACUGUGAAAACUCGGGGCUCAACUCCGAGCUUGCAGUCGAUACGGGCAGGCUAGAGUUCGGUAGGGGAGACUGGAAUUCCUGGUGUAGCGGUGAAAUGCGUAGAUAUCUGGAGGAACACCGGUGGCGAAGGCGGCAUCCUGGACCGGUAUUGACGCUGAGGCGCGAAAGCCAGGGGAGCAAACGGG